rnacentral:tRNA from 1 species
GCGGAUGUGGCGGAACUGGCAGACGCGCUAGACUUAGGAUCUAGUGGGCGACCGUGGGGGUUCGAGUCCCUUCAUCCGCA